UCGAGGAUCUUUCGCAAUGGGCGCAAGCCUGACGAAGCGACGCUGUGUGAAUGAUGAAGGCCUUCGGGUUGUAAAGUUCUUUCGCUUAGGAACAAGAGAGGGCAGUGAACAACUGUCUAAUUUGAGGGUACUAGGUAAAGAAGCACCGGCUAACUCCGUGCCAGCAGCUGCGGUAAUACGGAGGGUGCAAGCAUUAAUCGGAUUUAUUGGGCGUAAAGGGCGCGUAGGCGGGUUUGUAAGUCAGAUGUGAAAUUCCGAAGCUCAACUUCGGAGCUGCAUUUGAAACUGCGAGCCUGAGAGGGAUGGCGGAGAAAAUGGAAUUCCACGUGUAGCGGUGAAAUGCGUAGAUAUGUGGAAGAACACCGGUGGCGAAGGCGAUUUUCUAGCUAUUACCUGACGCUGAGGCGCGAGAGCAAGGGGAGCAAACAGG
rnacentral:rRNA from 1 species